rnacentral:rRNA from 1 species
GAUGAACGCUAGCUACAGGCUUAACACAUGCAAGUCGAGGGGAAACGGCAUUGAGUGCUUGCACUCUUUGGACGUCGACCGGCGCACGGGUGAGUAACGCGUAUCCAACCUUCCCAUUACUGUGGGAUAACCUGCCGAAAGGCAGACUAAUACCGCAUAGUCUUCGAUGACGGCAUCAGAUUUGAAGUAAAGAUUUAUCGGUAAUGGAUGGGGAUGCGUCUGAUUAGCUUGUUGGCGGGGUAACGGCCCACCAAGGCUACGAUCAGUAGGGGUUCUGAGAGGAAGGUACCCCACAUUGGAACUGAGACACGGUCCAAACUCCUACGGGAGGCAGCAGUGAGGAAGAGUGGACAAGGGACGGAAGUCUGAACCAGCCAAGUAGCGUGCAGGAUGACGGCGCUAUGGGUUGUAAACUGCUUUUGUAUGGGGAUAAAGUUAGGGACGUGUCCCUAUUUGCAGGUACCAUACGAAUAAGGACCGGCUAAUUCCGUG